CCCUUAGAUGUUCUGGGCUGCACGCGCGCUACACUGAAGCUAUCAACACGUUUUCCCUCCCUGAGAAGGGCGGGUAACCUUUUGAAUCAGCUUCGUGGUAGGGAUCGGGGCUUGCAAUUGUUCCCCGUGAACCAGGAAUUCCUAGUAGACGCGAGUCAUAAGCUCGCAUCGAUUAAGUCCCUGCCCUUUGUACACACCGCCCGUCGCUACUACCGAUUGAACGUUUUAGUGCGGCAUUUGGACCGACGCAUCUCAGUUUAACCGCUGGUUUGUGUUGGAAAGACUUCCAAACUUGAGCGUUUAGAGGAAGUAAAAGUCGUAACA
rnacentral:rRNA from 1 species